rnacentral:rRNA from 1 species
UACGUAGGGGGCAAGCGUUGUCCGGAUUUAUUGGGCGUAAAGAGCGUGUAGGCGGCUUUACAGGUCCGUUGUGAAAACUCGAGGCUCAACCUCGAGACGCCGGUGGAAACCGUAAAGCUAGAGUCCGGAAGAGGAGAGUGGAAUUCCUGGUGUAGCGGUGAAAUGCGCAGAUAUCAGGAGGAAUACCGAUGGCGAAGGCAGGUCUCUGGGCUGACACUGACGCUCAUGCACGAAAGCGUGGGGAGCAAACAGG